rnacentral:rRNA from 1 species
CCUACGGGUGGCAGCAGUGAGGAAUAUUGGUCAAUGGCCGUAAGGCUGAACCAGCCAAGUCGCGUGAAGGAAGAAGGAUCUAUGGUUUGUAAACUUCUUUUAUAGGGGAAUAAAGGUAUCCACGUGUGGAUAUUUGCAUGUACCCUAUGAAUAAGCAUCGGCUAACUCCGUGCCAGCAGCCGCGGUAAUACGGAGGAUGCGAGCGUUAUCCGGAUUUAUUGGGUUUAAAGGGUGCGUAGGUUGUUUUUUAAGUCAGCGGUGAAAGUUUGUGGCUCAACCAUAAAAUUGCCGUUGAAACUGGAAGACUUGAGUGUGUUUGAGGUAGGCGGAAUGCGUGGUGUAGCGGUGAAAUGCAUAGAUAUAACUUAGAACUCCGAUAGCGAAGGCAGCUUACCAGACUGCGACUGACGCUGAAGCACGAGAGCGUGGGUAGCGAACAGGAUUAGAUACCCUUGUAGUC